UUUGUCCUUGGUAAUAAAAUAAUAUACUAAUUCACUAAAUUUUAGUUUUAUAUUUAUAAUUUCAAUGGGUAAUAAAUUUAUUUGAAAAUAAAAAAAGUAAAAACCGUAUUUAGAAUUCCUAACAAAUAGUUUUGAUCAAACUAACAGAUAUAUCCAAUACCCGAAAGUACUAGGCCAGGUAUGAAGCAUUGUUUUACAAUCAUACAUGAUACUCAUAUUAUAAAUAAUCUUCCUAAACACGUCCCCCUUUCAUCCUAGCUAUGUGAUUUUCAUAAGAGUUAAAUGUCAUUUUAGUCCAUGUUGUUUCGUUAAACAAGCAUUCAAUACAUCUCCCUUUUUUAUGGUAUAGUUAACAAAAUUGUAUUGUAAUAAAUAAUGAUCAAAAAAGAAAGUUAUAGGAAUUAUUAAGAAUGAAUUACAUGAUUGAAGUGUAAUAAUCGCAUCCUUAAGCAUGUGAUAAUGAGAGCGUGCUUGGUACCCACGGAAACUUUUUUGGAUUCCGAUUAUGCCCUUCUCAUCUUUUUCCUCUCCACCGUUUUUCAUUAGAUUCUGCACAUACAAUACAUACAUCAUGGACUCAUGGUAACAUUGUAAUACAUAUAUUUUGAAAGAAAAAAAACAUAUUGUAAACCAAAUAUUCAAAAUGUUUUCAGAUAAUAAGAUUUGUUAAUCAAAUUCAAUCAAUCAUUUCGUCAACAAGUUUACUAUAUAAAAAAAAGUUACAUAGUUACAAACUAUUACAUAUUGAUCGAUAAAUAAUCGUAAUAUAUUGCAUGACAUGGUUAUCCUAGAACAAAAGAUUUAUUGUAUUUCACCUUACUAAAAGUAACACCACCUUCAAUGAAUUCAAAACCAUCUCUCUUGCUUCGGCUAUCUACAAACUCUUUCUUCGUCUUGCCACCAAACUCAUGCAUGUGAAAUGACAAAACUGCCCUUCUAGCUCGAUUGGUCGGUAUCCGAGCCUUGGAAACAGGACGUUGGGGCAACAUCGGUAUUUUUCCAUGAUCACCAUAGUGGUCAAGACUUUCUUUGCUUUGAAGGUCAUGAAGCAUGAGUUCAAGGGUGCUUAAAGCAGCCAUUUUUGGAGAUUAUACAAGUUUUGUGGUGAGAAUUGAAAUACAUGUAAUGUAUGUCAGUGGAUGUUAGAAGGUGGAUUGUGGAUGGGGACAUUAAAAACUUAAAACUUGGCUCAAAUUAGGCUUCAUGGGAUUUGGACAUUUAUUGGGAGUUG
rnacentral:lncRNA from 1 species